GACGAACGCUGGCGGCGUGCUUAACACAUGCAAGUCGAACGGAGUGGCGAACGGGUGAGUAACACGUGGGUGACCUGCCCUGCACUUCGGGAUAAGCCUGGGCAACUGGGUCUAAUACCGGAUAGUGUGGGAUGGGCGCGGGGCCUAUCAGCUUGUUGGUGGGGUAAGGGCCUACCAAGGCGGCGACGGGUAGCCGGCCUGGGAGGGUGGACGGCCACAUUGGGACUGAGGCACGGAGCAGACGCCUACGGGAGGCAGCAGUGGGGAAUAUUGCACAAUGGGGGGAAGCGUGAUGAAGCGACGCCGCGUGGGGGAUGACGGCCUUCGGGUUGUAAACUCCUUUCACCAUCGACGCGGUAGAUGGAGAAGAAGCACCGGCUAACUACGUGCCAGCAGCCGCGGUAAUUC
rnacentral:rRNA from 1 species